AUGGCAAACGCGCGUUUCGGCCGGAGCAAGGCACAACGCGAAGGGGAGCGGACGCGAGCGACGUGGCACAACGCGCGCACGGAUGCGGCCGACCGAAGCGAGGCACGGCGCGCGGCGCGCGCGCGGACGGACGGUGUUGCGGUGGUGAUGACGAAGAGGCCGACGGCAAGGACGCGCCACCCCUCACGGCCGCUUCGGGGGCAUGUCGAAGUCGAGCCCCCGAGCGCUACCGGAGAGACGGUGCGACGCCGCAGCGGUGAUGGCAAAGAUGGUCCCGCCCGGACUGCGAAACCAGCAGCAGCAUGGUAG
rnacentral:rRNA from 1 species